UUACGAUCCAGUGGAGGCCAGCAACCACAGUAAAUGGGAACAUUCUCGGUAUCCCUGCCACUCAGGGUGAGAACUGUCCAUAUUUGGCACAAAAGCUGGAUUCCCACAGUGAAGAGAGAUGGAAAACUUCUUGUACCAGUAAGUGGGACUAGAGCAAUGAUCCGUGAAAUGGUGUCCUGGAAACUCCAUCCCGGAAGCCCCCACUGUAAUUGUUUGUAAAAUGGCGGUGAAGCAAAGAGCGUUUUGCAAACCUUUUCCUAAUCACCCACUGGAAAAUGUGACGGCAGCACUCACCCACUGCAAAGAGAGCAUCAGUGAUGGACUGCAGCAUCCACCUGUACCUGAGCUUCUGAGUAAAGUGGGCUCUUUCUUUCAGAUAAUUACGAAACUAGAAGAAUUUAAAGGAAAAUUCUGUUUCCAGGAUUUCGGUGACCAACCACUCAGUGAUAAAACCUGGGCAGGUCUUCUUUUACUUCCUCAGUUACACCAUGCUAAUCAUCUCCAGGCCUUUACAUGGGUACUUCUCUCUUGCUAGAAUUAUGUUAUCCAACCACCUCCUCCAAAUGAACACCAGCACCUACAUAAUGAAAUCCUCAUCAUGCUUGUAAGUAAACACUUCUUCCUCCUUCCUGUGUAUCCCCACCUAGAACCAAGUUCUCAGCCCCGUUCAGUUCUUCAGAGGAGCUACUGAGUAGCUUUGUCCCUGGAAUUGCACUGUGGAAGAGGAAAAGACAGGGCACUGUGUAUGCGGAGAUCCAAUCUCCAACCACCACCGUUUCCAGAGGCUGAGGGAAAAAAGAAAUCUUUAAAGAUUAACAUAUGCCUGUAAAUUCCUGAUAAAUACUUGUGGUAGGAAUCUAUGAAAAUGCAGCAAUGUUAAUAGUGUUAAGCAAGGGGAAAAGAUGCAUUAGCUAACCUGGCCUCAAAGACAAAUCUUUGUCCUAAGGCAAGAAAUUAAAUAUAACAUUUAUUGAAAAUGAGAACAUUUUCUACGUGAUUUUUCCUUAAAAAAAUCCAGAUGGGUUUGGAAUUAGAAUUUCAGAUAAUGCCACGUAAGCAUUCCUAAUGUUGUCAGCUCCAGUGGGAUGAAGUGUCUCACCCCUCUCCCUCAGAUGGUCAAUUAUGACUUAAAUCCUCUUGAAAGCC
rnacentral:lncRNA from 1 species